rnacentral:rRNA from 1 species
CGGGUGAGUAACGCGUGGGUAAUCUGCCCUCGAAUCCGGGAUAACAUUGCGAAAGCGAUGCUAAUACCGGACGAAGUUGUCGAGCUUUGGCUGGGCGAUGAAAGGUGGCCUCUACAAGAAAGCUACUGUUCGGGGAUGAGCCCGCGUACCAUUAGCUAGUCGGUAGGGUAACGGCCUACCGAGGCGACGAUGGUUAGCUGGUCUGAGAGGAUGAUCAGCCACACUGGAACUGACACACGGUCCAGACUCCUACGGGAGGCAGCAGUGAGGAAUUUUGCGCAAUGGGGGUAACCCUGACGCAGCAACGCCGCGUGAGUGAUGAAGGCCUUCGGGUCGUAAAGCUCUGUCAAUGGGGAAGAACCUGUGACAUGCCAACAGCAUGUUGCACUGACGGUACCCAUAAAGGAAGCACCGGCUAACUCCGUGCCAGCAGCCGCGGUAACACGGAGGGUGCGAGCGUUAUUCGGAAUUAUUGGGCGUAAAGCGCGCGCAGGCGGUUUACUAAGUCAGAUGUGAAAGCCCGGGGCUCAACCCCGGAAGAGCAUUUGAUACUGGUAGGCUUGAGUAUGGGAGAGGGAAGUGGAAUUCCUGGUGUAGAGGUGAAAUUCGUAGAGAUCAGGAGGAACACCGGUGGCGAAGGCGACUUCCUGGACCAAUACUGACGCUGAGGCGCGAAGGCGUGGGGAGCAAACAGGAUUAGAUACCCUGGUAGUCCACGCAGUAAACGGUGAUCACUAGGUGUAGCGGGUAUUGACCCCUGCUGUGCCGGAGUUAACGCAUUAAGUGAUCCGCCUGGGGAGUACGGCCGCAAGGUUAAAACUCAAAGGAAUUGACGGGGGCCCGCACAAGCGGUGGAGCAUGUGGUUUAAUUCGACGCAACGCGAAGAACCUUACCUGGGUUUGACAUCCCGGGAAUCCUUUUGAAAAAAGGGAGUGCCCUUCGGGGAGCCCGGUGACAGGUGCUGCAUGGCUGUCGUCAGCUCGUGUCGUGAGAUGUUGGGUUAAGUCCGGCAACGAGCGCACCCCCUAUCUUUAGUUACCAUCAUUCAGUUGGGGAGUCUAGAGAUACUGCCCCGGUCAACGGGGAGGAAGGUGGGGAUGACGUCAAGUCCUCAUGUCCUUUAUAUCCA